rnacentral:rRNA from 1 species
AUUGAACGCUGGCGGCAGGCCUAACACAUGCAAGUCGAACGAGUGGCGGACGGGUGAGUAAUGCCUGGGAAACUUCCUUAUGGAGGGGGAUAACUACGGGAAACUGUAGCUAAUACCGCGUACCAUAGGAUGAGCCCAAGUGGGAUUAGGUGGUUGGUGAGGUAACGGCUCACCAAGUCGACGAUCCCUAGCUGGUCUGAGAGGAUGACCAGCCACACUGGGACUGAGACACGGCCCAGACGCCUACGGGAGGCAGCAGUGGGGAAUAUUGCGCAAUGGGGGCAACCCUGACGCAGCCAUGCCGCGUGUAUGAAGAAGGCCCUAGGGUUGUAAAGUACUUUCAGUCGGGAGGCGUUACCGACAGAAGAAGCACCGGCUAACUCCGUGCCAGCCGCCGCGGUAAUAC